AAACAAAUGUAGGCCAAUAUUUCUGCUUAGCUGGCUCCUGCUCUGGCUGCUCCUGCCCGCUGCAGCCCAGGGCUCCAUCAGCAACUUGCAGUUAUUUUGCCCCCAACUGCACCAGGCCCUUUCCCCAGCACCUCUGGAAUGCACACAGGGCAGCGUGGGCACACUCAAGGACAGGGACAGCACAGCUGCUGAGCCAGCACCACGCUAACGAAAGGAAGACUGUCCACUUCCACUCUAUUUUUACUGUAUUUUUUUGUGACUCACUUCUAAGGGAAAAACCCCCCUAAACACAAUAGACCUUUGAAACUGCAUUUGAGCACAGGCUAGUGUAAACCCAGUAGCCAGUUUUGCCCACUGGAUAGAAUCCGCCAGAUUCUUGGAGCCCAGGAUAACACAGCCAUGAAACUGCAGACAGCUGAGCCCAUGCCAGCCCUAUGCCCUGUGCCAAGCACUGGUUCCAUCUGGGGCACUUAAAGGAAUGUGACCAAAAUUAUGGAGAAAGCCUUUUCCUCUGGAAUAGAGCCAUAACCCAGACACCAGCAUGGAGAGGAUAUUUGUCAGUUCAGCUCAGUGGUCUCCAGAAAAUGUACAAUCAGGUUUAAUAAUUUAAUAAUUUAAACUAGUUAAUGGUUAAUGAAUGGGCUCAGGAUUUCGACAGCUGGAGAGACAGGUGGUGAGUGGAAACACCUCUUCUGAAAGGGCUUUUGGUUUGAGGGCAGAAGGGAGCAUCUCAGUUUGUAAGUGAUCUAUGUUGUUUGGGCAGUGAUUUGACUACUGGGUUUAAUAUCAUUUCAAAUCUCUCCAGGUAAAGAGAGUUUAAUGCAAUUAUCUACUGAUUGUGAAUGAAGACAUACCCAUAACACCCAAAUUCCUACAAUUACUUUAAGACAUCCUAGCAGGUUUCUUUCUGCUGUAAAAUAUUGAGUGAAAAAAAAAUAGAGAAUGAACAGAACUGUUUUACUCUUUAAAAAAUGGCAAAAGAGGGCAGUCCAGCCAUACUCCUCCCUGGCUGCUGGACUCCAGCAGCCCCACCAUGUCCAGCAGCUUCUCAGAGCUGCCAGCGCUGGAGGUGGCUGUGGUCACUGUCCCUGGGGCUGCAAGGCUUUGGGAUCCCAGGCCAGCAACGGGUUCCCUGCCCACGUCUCUGCCAGCACAGCUGCAGUGUCACCGUGCUGGGCUGUGCACAGCUCCUUGGCACGCACCGCUGUCAGGUCACUGGGGAUCACAGGGCCUCAGAACAACAAAGUGAUGGGAGAACUCUGCUGGACAGAGUUGCUUGGCUGUGUUGCUCACACAAGAACUGGGACAGGCCAUGCCAAGACUCUGCUGUGUCACCUCUUGUGACCGCAUGGGUUAAAACAGCAGUGGUCUGUGCCUCAGUUUACCAUCAGGAACUACCAUUUUGAGAUACUAAACAAAGGACAUUUUGAGAUUUAACUGAAUGGGAUUUGUAGAUUGUGCAAACAUCCAGUUCCCGGUGCAAGGUGCGAGUGUUUCUACACUGACCCUGUGAAGGUGCACUGGGAGAUGCACAGGGGAGCACUCAGAGCUCCCGCUACACGGAGGUGAUGGACACAAAAGAUCUGAACGUUUCUCUCAACUCUGCUGACUCCAGAUCUGCGGGGCAAGGUCACUCGCUGAAACAGAGCUGUCCCGGGAGGGGAUUCCUGGGAAGAGACACUCGGAAUGCACUACAGCGCCCGGUGCCUGCGGAAGGCCGGGGGCGAUGAGGCGUAGCGGUGGCCUCGUCCUCCCGGGGCUCGUUGACACCCAGCGUGCCCAGUGCCGGCAUGCCCGAUGCCAGCGCUGCUGUGACCGGUGCUUUCCCGGUGUGCCUGACCUUCGUGGCCCGCGGCCGGGAAUCCCGGCGUGUCUCCGAUAAGUACCCGACACUCCCGGUUCCCCCGGUGUGCCCGGGCCGCCCCCUCAGGCGAGCGGCCGCGCAGUGCACGCCGGGAGGCGCGCGCGGCACGCUGGGAC
rnacentral:lncRNA from 1 species